GACGAACGCUGGCGGCGUGCCUAAUACAUGCCAGUUGAGCGCUGAAGGUUGGUACUUGUACCAACUGGAUGAGCAGCGAACGGGUGAGUAACGCGUGGGGAAUCUGCCUUUGGGCGGGGGACAACAUUUGGAAACGAAUGCUAAUACCGCAUAAAAACUUUAAACACAAGUUUUAAGUUUGAAAGAUGCAAUUGCAUCACUCAAAGAUGAUCCCGCGUUGUAUUAGCUAGUUGGUGAGGUAAAGGCUCACCAAGGCGAUGAUACAUAGCCGACCUGAGAGGGUGAUCGGCCACAUUGGGACUGAGACACGGCCCAAACUCCUACGGGAGGCAGCAGUAGGGAAUCUUCGGCAAUGGACGAAAGGCUGACCGAGCAACGCCGCGUGAGUGAAGAAGGGUUUCGGAUCGUAAAACUCUGUUGGUAGAGAAGAACGUUGGUGAGAGUGGAAAGCUCAUCAAGUGACGGUAACUACCCAGAAAGGGACGGCUAACUACGUG
rnacentral:rRNA from 1 species